rnacentral:lncRNA from 1 species
AAACUGCCCAAGUAGCAUGCCAAGUGAAGACCAAAUGUUCAAACACGCAAGUUUCGGGCACAUGUCUCAUUCAAACCACCACAAUCUUACCCCAAACCCUGCUGGCUUCAGGGAGCUUUUUGGAUUGGAUAUGGGAGCAUUCUUUAAUGGCAGCACAGAUAACCAGUGGUAUGAGGCCAGACAGCUGCUCCUUCAUCCUCUGACCCUGGGCCACUCGCUGCUAUCUGUACAGUUCAUCUGCCCCUGCGUGUGCGGUGAGCCGUGAGCGGUGACUCAGAGUCAAACACAAGCAGACUCUGUGAGCUUCCGACUGUUCCUAGAAAUAAGGCCACUGUCUUGAGUUCAAGGAGGAUUGCGGAUGAUGGCGCCUGGGAUGAUGGCACGAGCCUGGAAUCCCAGCACUGGAGAAACCAGAGCAAGAGGAUCUGAAGUUUGAGCCUUCGGCAACUUUGCCCUCCACCUGGCUUAGAGACUGCUCCAGCUCUGCCUGCAGCUGGGAAGGAUUUUUUUCCUACUUGAAAGGUUUUCCCUCCCACCUUUGUGGCAUGAAGUGGAAACUUAAGGGUUCUUUGGGAAGUCAGUUGUGUUGGAUGGUGUUUUGCUAAAGCAAGCACGUGAAGGAACGUUUCUCUGAGGCAGACACAGGAGAAAGGAUGUUCUACUAAAGCAAACCGGUGAAAGGACGCACGAUGAAGGAUUCUUUGAUAACGACACACAUGUAUUGGUCUGCUUUACGUUGUGUUGUGACUCCAUAGAAAGAGACGAACCAAAAAACUUCUGAUGGUGUGCCAAGGCUUCUUUGUUGCUUCUGUGGACUGGGGCCGAUUGGCAGAGUGACGUCAGUUGAAACGGACUCACGUGCUGAGACAAGACACAUGGUGAGGCAAGACCCAUGGAGGAGAUGUGAUGUGUGGAGGGAUUAUAAAUAGGACUCAACAGAUUGUGAGGGGGGCUUGGUUUGCUGGUAGAGCUCGCUAUGCAAUGCUCAUCGGGCUUGUUGGGCUUGAAUCGCCACUGAUCUUCGCUUCUCUGAGAGAACUUCUGGUUCGAAUCCCUCCUGCUGACUCAUGCUGAUUCCACUGCGGCCUAGCUGGUCUUUUUAGUUAUGCCACCGCUGCUGCUUCCCCGACACUACUGAACGGGACUGCUGGUGUAUCCGAGAAGUGUUUGAGAGUGGAUUGAGCUGCCACUGCUGACCUGUGAACUGAACUGCUGAUUUCCUGACAAUGCAGAUGGGAGUUGCUCCAAAGAACCUUCUAUAAAUAGAUCCACUUCCCCUAGCUUCAGGACAGGUCCCAGGGUCCUGAGUGUGGGUGAGCAGUGACCUCAAAAAUGCAUACAGGACUGGAGACGUGGCUCAGUGGUUAAGAGUGCUUGUUGCUCCUCCAGAGGACCCAAGUUCCAUCCCCAGCACCCACAGUGAGUGGAUCAGCAUCUCGCAACCUCUUACUUAAGCUCCAGGGGAUCUGGCGCCCUCUUCUGGCCUCUUCAGGUACCUGCACCCACAUGUGCACAUACCCCUACAUAGAUCCACAUGUAAACAUAUUUUUUUUAAUUGGAAAAAAGAAUCAAAACCUCCUAAAUGAUAGAGCAAAAGUUGUGUCGAUCAGAAGUACAAAAAAAUUGGACAGUUCACCUAACUAGAGAAAAUAAAAUGGAUGUCUGUGACUCCACCAUCAUUCCUUCCA